AUGGCUCCCCAGUGCGCUCACACCUGUGAACCAACGAGGCGCGCAGGGGAGAUCAGGAAAAGCCGGUUUCCUGGCUGCGCUGGCAUUUGCUCAAAGGAACGUGAAACUCAAGACUCUCAUGGUGUUCAUUUAAUAUCGAACAGAAACGCUGGCGAGGAUGUGGUGGAAGACAGCGGAAUGGGAGGAAGACACGCAGCCUCCCAGCGUGACGUUGCUUCCAGGAAAACACAAGGAGAUGAAAUCUGUAAGGAUGUGCAGCGACACGCACGGCUGGCUGCCGACGGCCUGCGUGCAAUGGAGCGCGGGCUCAGCUCAUCCGAGGCUGCCUGCCCUUCGUCAGAGCUGGGAGCUGAGCGUGUGCACCGGUACUCGGCUUCGAAUCCUGCGUGUCCAAACCAGCCUGAAGUCGCUCUGGGUGCCCAUGUUUGGAGGGCACCAGGACUGCGCUGCCCUCAAAGGUGACAGAGCUGGAGGUGAGGCCAGCGUGUUCCCAGCCCGUGCUCCCCCUGCAGUCAUUAUGCCCUCUUCUGCCGGCUGCUGCCUGAGACCACCAACAGCAACGGGGCUUUGCCACCAAACGCAGUCCCGCCUGCAUGAGGACAUGUGCAUCACAGACGACCAUGUUUAAGUCAGGACUACAACAGACCCGAAAAAUUCCUAGUGACGUCGCAGCCACUGGAGUGUCCCAGGGCAACACAUUACUCACGUGUUUGCAUGACGCUGGUGUAAACGCGCCUGCUGCAUCGCCAGCCAUAUAAAACCACAGCACCUGCAAUUAUGAGUGGCACAUAAUGCUUGGUGACGGUGACGAGCACCGAUGUCACUGGUUUAUGCAUUUACUACACUUUGAUCAUUGUGUUUGGAAAGCGCUCCCUCCAUCUUGCUGGAUCACCAGUCCCGGGAGGCCACGUGCAGGGACUGACCACGGAUGUGUGCGUGCGCUCUGUGAUGGCCACACAGUGACACGUGGCUCAGGGCACACCCCCUCAUUCAGCAGCACGUAACCGUAGCUGUCACUCUGGGCACAGGCCCCAAAGGGUCUGGUGGCCAUUUGUGGAGGGAGGAGAGGACCCCGCCCUCUCCCUGUGCAGGGUCCCUCUUUAAGAUGUUGGCUUCCGGAGGGCUCACGGGGUGCUGGGGAGGGCUGGCUCGGGACUCAUCUGCUUGGGGUGUGAGGCAGGUGGGGUGGAGGGGAACUGAGACCAAGGCUUAGGUGGGGGACCACCAGGAAGCAUUCUGCAGCAAGUGAGAGCGCCCCCUCCGGCCCCGCGUCGGUAUCACACGCAGGGUAGGAUGCACCGUUCCACCGCGUUGCACGUGCAGGUUGGUGCCAGUCAGCUCCUUCGCUCUGCCCAUUGCCUUUCCUACCUGCAGCCACAGACCCUCCACCUUGCAAAACUGAAACUCUGAACCCAAACUCCAGACACGACUCCCCCGCGCCCCUCCCCAGCCCCUGGCAACCACCACUCCACUUUCCCUCUGUGAUUUGCUCCGCCGAGGUGACCUCUCUGGAAUACUGCUUGUCCUUGUCUCACCUGCUUAUUUUACCCAGCAAAAUGUCCUUAGGGUUCCCCCUUCUGACACAUGUGGCCAGCGAACCUCAGAUUUCUUUCUGUUGGAAGGCAGAG
ensembl:lncRNA